ACUCCAUAUUGUAAUUCUUAUGUUUUCUUAAGAAAUAGGUUCUAUAGAACCAAACUAAUUGCAUGUACAGUAACAUUUUAUUCAAGAAACAGAAAAGGCGCCAUUCCAGUCAUGUAAGAGAUAAUAAAAACAUCAAGAAGCAUGUCAAUCAAAUGCUGUGUUGACUGGAGAACUCAAUCUAUGGAUGGACCCAAUUAUCUGCAAGAGAAUUGAAUGUCAGCAUCAUUUAAGGUUAACAAUGGACUAACUAGGCAAGAGCAGACAGCUACUCUCUGCAGAGACCCAGGAAGCAAACUUGGUAAUGAGGGCCAUUCUGUUGUUCCCAUGUAAUUUUUUCUGAGCUACAAGUCUCCAAUUUAAGAUACGAUGGAAUGGAUUCUCUCCUGAAAGAAGACUUGAAGAUGAGCUCUCCCUUGAGAAUCUCUUGAAUACCUCUUCUUCCUGUAAACAAGGCUCACAAGACCACCUCCUCCAUCUGUGUGACAUCUUCUUUUCGAGCUGGUUUCCCACCAGAGUGCAAAUAAAUAUAGAAAGUGCCUCUGAUUCCACCCCAUCCAAUCCAGAGGGAAA